AUUGAACGCUGGCGGCAGGCCUAACACAUGCAAGUCGAGCGGAUGAAGGGAGCUUGCCCCUGGAUUCAGCGGCGGACGGGUGAGUAAUGCCUAGGAAUCUGCCUGGUAGUGGGGGAUAACGUCCGGAAACGGGCGCUAAUACCGCAUACGUCCUGAGGGAGAAAGUGGGGGAUCUUCGGACCUCACGCUAUCAGAUGAGCCUAGGUCGGAUUAGCUAGUUGGUGGGGUAAAGGCCUACCAAGGCGACGAUCCGUAACUGGUCUGAGAGGAUGAUCAGUCACCCUGGAACUGAGACACGGUCCAGACUCCUACGGGAGGCAGCAGUGGGGAAUGUUGGACAAUGGGCGAAAGCCUGAUCCAGCCAUGCCGCGUGUGUGAAGAAGGUCUUCGGAUUGUAAAGCACUUUAAGUUGGGAGGAAGGGCAGUAAGUUAAUACGUUGCUGUUUUGACGUUACCAACAGAAUAAGCACCGGCUAACUUCGUG
rnacentral:rRNA from 1 species